rnacentral:rRNA from 1 species
GACCGUAGCAAUACGGAACUGGCGCACGGGUGCGGAACACGUAGGCAAUCUGCCCUUGGAGGGAGAACAACCAGUCGAAAGGUUGGCUAAGUCUCCGUAAAAUCAUAGAGUGGCAUCACUUAUUGAUCAAGUUUUUCCAAGGAUGAGCCUGCGUCUGAUUAGCUAGUUGGCGGGGUAACGGCCCACCAAGGCUACGAUCAGUAGCUGGUCUGAGAGGAUGAUCAGCCACAUUGGGACUGAGAUACGGCCCAGACUCCUACGGGAGGCAGCAGUGAGGAAUAUUGCUCAAUGGGGGAAACCCUGAAGCAGCAACGCCGCGUAAAGGAUGAAGGCGCUUUGCGUUGUAAACUUUUGUAGUCGGGGACAAAUUGUGGGUUACUACCCACUUGAUGGUACCCGAAAAGUAAGGAUCGGCUAACUACGUGCCAGCAGCCGCGGUAAUACGUAGGAUCCGAGCGUUGUCCGGAUUCACUGGGUGUAAAGGGUGCGCAGGCGGACCGUUAAGUCAGUGGUGAAAUCUCGUCGCUUAACGACGAAACUGCCUUUGAUACUAUCAGUCUUGAAUCCGGUAGAGGUCAGUGGAAUUCCGAGUGUAGCAGUGAAAUGUGUAGAUAUUCGGAAGAACACC